CCUACGGGAGGCAGCAGUGGGGGAUAUUGCACAAUGGGGGGAACCCUGAUGCAGCGACGCCGCGUGGGUGAAGGAGUGCUUCGGCAUGUAAAGCCCUAUCGGCAGGGAAGAAGCAAGACGGUACCUGACUAAGAAGCCCCGGCUAACUACGUGCCAGCAGCCGCGGUAAUACGUAGGGGGCGAGCGUUAUCCGGAUUCACUGGGUGUAAAGGGAGCGUAGACGGCCAUGCAAGCCAGGGGUGAAAGCCCGGGGCACAACCCCGGGACUGCCCUUGGAACUGUGCGGCUAGAGUGCGGGAGGGGCAGGCGGAAUGCCUGGUGUAGCGGUGAAAUGCGUAGAUAUCAGGAGGAACACCGGCGGCGAAGGCGGCCUGCUGGACCGCGACUGACGUUGAGGCUCGAAAGCAUGGGGAGCGAACAGGAUUAGAUACCCGGGUAGUC
rnacentral:rRNA from 1 species